AGUUCUGUGCUCUCUCACCUCUUGAGUUUUUCUGCCUCGCUGCCUGGGGGGGGGGAUCCCCCUGCUGUCCUAGUCAGCUCACAAGGGCGCAGAAGUGUCCUCACCUCGCUUCAGAGGCGCCCCUUGCUCCGUCGUCUCCACAUGCGCUGGCCCUGGCUCUGGCCCUAUAAAUGGGGGUGAGGGAGGGUGGAUCCACUCGUUUGUGUGGAAGCCCUUUUUCCCUCUUGUAGUCUGGUAAAGCCUCGAUCUCACACACCUUCGCUGGGCCCCUCCGCUCCUCUGAUAAAGAUUUUUAAGCAGGUGCUAAAAAAUAUUUGUGGAUUGACUGGGACCAAGGAAUUGUAAUGGGAUGAUAGAAAUCGGCUGUGAAUGGAGUUUAGCAAGCUCAUAACCAGAGUGACAGGCUCAGGAUGAUGAUUGUCUUCUCCAAGUAAGGCUGGUGUGAUUUUCCGAGGACUCCUUUGAAUAGCAUUGCUCCACUGUGACUUAAUGGGACUCACAAGCUUUGUCCUUCUCUAACUUGAAAGAAAUGCUUUCCAUUUGAGUGGUCGUUGGGUCUGUGUUUUCCUGGUUCUUCUCCCCUUAAUUCACUGUCAAUUCAGGAUUGAAGCCCAGUGGUGGGUUCUCUGCCUCAAAAAAAAACAUGGAUAUUUUAAUAAAUUUCUGAGCAUAACUUCACGUUGCUUUCCAGAAUGGCUAGGCCAAGUCACAGUUCCACCAUUGACUGGCAUAUUACUGAGCUGGCUUUUAGCAGCCUCUACAGAAUUGAGUAUUUCCAUUUUUUUCCUUUACCAAUUUGCUGGAUGUUAAGUAAAUCUUAGGAUGGUUUUGAUAUCCAUUUCUCUUAUUAUUAAUUUAGUGUAAUCUUUCAUAUGAUUGUUAAUAAAGAAAUUUUAUAUUCUGUUUAGGGGAAAAUA
rnacentral:lncRNA from 1 species